CGUCACCAAGGCGACGAUCCGUAGCUGGUCUGAGAGGAUGAUCAGCCACACUGGAACUGAGACACGGUCCAGACUCCUACGGGAGGCAGCAGUGGGGAAUAUUGGACAAUGGGCGAAAGCCUGAUCCAGCCAUGCCGCGUGUGUGAAGAAGGCCUUCGGGUUGUAAAGCACUUUUAAGCGGGGAGGAAGUACUUGGGGCUAAUACCCCUGAGUGUUGACGUUACCCGCAGAAUAAGCACCGGCUAACUCUGUGCCAGCAGCCGCGGUAAUACAGAGGGUGCAAGCGUUAAUCGGAAUUACUGGGCGUAAAGCGCGCGUAGGCGGUUUGUUAAGUCGGAUGUGAAAUCCCCGGGCUCAACCUGGGCACGGCAUCCGAUACUGGCUGACUAGAGUGUGGGAGAGGAAGGUAGAAUUCCAGGUGUAGCGGUGAAAUGCGUAGAGAUCUGGAGGAAUACCGAUGGCGAAGGCAGCCUUCUGGCCUAACACUGACGCUGAGGUGCGAAAGCAUGGGGA
rnacentral:rRNA from 1 species